AAUCAACGCUGGCGGCGUGCCUCAGACAUGCAAGUCGAACGAUUAAGACUUCCUUCGGGAAGUGCAUAAAGUGGCGCACGGGUGAGUAACACGUAAGUAAUCUACCCUCGAGUGGGGAAUAACGUUCGGAAACGGACGCUAAUACCGCAUAACGCAGCGGCACCGCAAGGUGACAGUUGUUAAAGGAGCAAUCCGCUUGAGGAGGAGCUUGCGGCAGAUUAGCUAGUUGGUAAGGUAAUGGCUUACCAAGGCUACGAUCUGUAUCCGGUCUAAGAGGACGGUCGGACACACUGACACUGAAUAACGGGUCAGACUCCUACGGGAGGCAGCAGUCGGGAAUUUUGGGUCAAUGGGCGAAAGCCUGACCCAGCAACGCCGCGUGAAGGAUGAAGUAUUUCGGUAUGUAAACUUCGAAAGAAUAGGAAGAAUAAAUGACGGUACUAUUUAUAAGCUCCGGCUAACUACGUG
rnacentral:rRNA from 1 species